UUAGCGGCGGACGGGUGAGUAACACGUGGAUAACCUACCUAUAAGACUGGGAUAACUUCGGGAAACCGGAGCUAAUACCGGAUAAUAUUUUGAACCGCAUGGUUCAAAAGUGAAAGACGGUCUUGCUGUCACUUAUAGAUGGAUCCGCGCUGCAUUAGCUAGUUGGUAAGGUAACGGCUUACCAAGGCAACGAUGCAUAGCCGACCUGAGAGGGUGAUCGGCCACACUGGAACUGAGACACGGUCCAGACUCCUACGGGAGGCAGCAGUAGGGAAUCUUCCGCAAUGGGCGAAAGCCUGACGGAGCAACGCCGCGUGAGUGAUGAAGGUCUUCGGAUCGUAAAACUCUGUUAUUAGGGAAGAACAUAUGUGUAAGUAACUGUGCACAUCUUGACGGUACCUAAUCAGAAAGCCACGGCUAACUACGUGCCAGCAGCCGCGGUAAUACGUAGGUGGCAAGCGUUAUCCGGAAUUAUUGGGCGUAAAGCGCGCGUAGGCGGUUUUUUAAGUCUGAUGUGAAAGCCCACGGCUCAACCGUGGAGGGUCAUUGGAAACUGGAAAACUUGAGUGCAGAAGAGGAAAGUGGAAUUCCAUGUGUAGCGGUGAAAUGCGCAGAGAUAUGGAGGAACACCAGUGGCGAAGGCGACUUUCUGGUCUGUAA
rnacentral:rRNA from 1 species